UUGGACUGCAGGACGCUCCGCUCUUUUACAAGAUAUUUAUUUAUUAAAAGAGUGUUUUUGUGAUCUACGAAUGUUAGUUGUGCGGAAUUAGUCUUCAGUUACAUGCAAAAGAACGUUUAAGCGAAGACAGAGAGCGGAUGAUGCUGUUUUCUUCAAAAACUUUUUUGGGCCUUGUAACAAUAGUUAAACAAGGAACAGGAGCAAUGGUGCUUUUCAAUUCGUUUUCAAUUUCCUGUUGCUGCAAGGCCGCGGAAAUUGAUCAAAGGAACAACGUCUCCACUACCCUUUGGAUACCACCAUUGUUUCCCGUAAUGUCACUAUUCUUUUUUUUAUCCAACCUCGGUAUCGGGAUGUUUGAUUAAAUUUCAACGAUAAAAGCUCGAGCUACAUGCUUCCAACUUCGUGCUUUCAAACGUCGUUUAAUUCCUAUUCCAAAUGGUACUUUUGUCCCCUUUAUAAUUAAGUAAAGUGCAUUCGUAAGCACAAAAAGUAAAACGUGCAACGCGAAAUUGCAAAGAACAGAAAUUUCAUUUGUUAAUUAAUAAUCCAAUAGAAUUUCUAAAUAAUUGAUGAGAAUAUAUUAUCCUGUAUCGUGAAUAUUCGUUGCGUUCGACGGGCACAAGUAUACAAAGCUCGGUAAUAUUUUGUUUUGGUUUCGGAAACCUUGAGAGCUCGCGAGUUGUACACAAACGUUAAUGAACCAGGGGACACGAGGAAUUUCGUCGACUUCGUUCAGUAUACGUCGAGACGCGAGUGUGUAAGGGAGGGCCGAACGUUCGUGUCCUUUUGUGAUAAUGGGUGGUUUUGUGACGCAACGAGGAGGGUGGAUGGUCAUCGAUGGACACGAAGGUGCGAGGAUGGAAAAUUGGAGGAUUUUUUCUACUGGUGAAUUCAUCGGUGUUAAUUUGGAGACAACAAAGGGGUGUCAUCCAAGGAGGACGUGGCCUACCCUCAUCAGAAGUUCGUGUUUCCAGCCUUUGAAUUGAAUUCUGGGAACCACAACUAUGCUGCUAUCGGUUUGCUUUGUUUGCGUUGUUUGCGUUCCCGAAUUAGAGACGGUUUUUCGUUCGGCUCGGCUUGAACUGGUGCACGCGAAGAGGAAGCCGAUGGUCGGCCGCACCUGGAGACGUUCCAAAAGACAUUCGUUUGCGCGCCAAAAUCGCCUG